rnacentral:rRNA from 1 species
UACGUAGGGGGCGAGCGUUGUCCGGAUUCAUUGGGCGUAAAGAGCUCGUAGGCGGCUUACUAAGUCAGGUGUGAAACCUCCAGGCUCAACCUGGAGCCGCCAUCUGAUACUGGUAUGGCUUGAGUCCGGUAGGGGACCACGGAAUUCCUGGUGUAGCGGUGAAAUGCGCAGAUAUCAGGAGGAACACCGGUGGCGAAGGCGGGUCUCUGGGCCACUACUGACGCUGAGGAGCGAAAGCGUGGGGAGCAAACAGG